CCUACGGGAGGCAGCAGUGAGGAAUAUUGGUCAAUGGGCGCAAGCCUGAACCAGCCAAGCCGCGUGAGGGAAGACGGUUCUAUGGAUUGUAAACUUCUUUUGUCGGGGAGCAAAAGACGCCACGCGUGGCGUUCAGCGAGUACCCGAAGAAAACGCAUCGGCUAACUCCGUGCCAGCAGCCGCGGUAAUACGGAGGAUACGAGCGUUAUCCGGAUUUACUGGGUGUAAAGGGUGCGUAGACGGCAGCGCAAGUCUGGAGUGAAAUCCCGUGGCUUAACCAUGGAACUGCUUUGGAAACUGUGCAGCUAGAGUGCAGGAGAGGUAAGCGGAAUGCAUAGUGUAGCGGUGAAAUGCGUAGAUAUUAGGAGGAACACCGGUGGCGAAGGCGGCUUACUGGACUGUGACUGACGUUGAGGCCCGAAGGCGUGGGGAGCAAACAGGAUUAGAUACCCCGGUAGUC
rnacentral:rRNA from 1 species